UAGAUUGAACUCUGGACCUCACACAUUUU
rnacentral:piRNA from 1 species